CAGCGCCAUUUUGUGGCAGCGAGACCUGCAAAUAAAGGGGAGAGCCGGGGCUGUGGCGGUAGGAGGAGCGCGGGGGCCGGCGGCAGCGGGGUCGGGCGGCCAGGGCAGCGAGCGGGCAGCGCGGAGUCAGCCUAUGUGACUGGGCGGCGCCGGCGCGGCCUCCGUCAGGAGAGGAUUCAAGAUGACCAACGAGGAACCUCUUCCUAAAAAGGUUCGACUGAGUGAAACAGACUUCAAAGUUAUGGCACGAGAUGAAUUAAUUCUCAGGUGGAAACAAUAUGAAGCAUAUGUGCAAGCUUUGGAGGGCAAGUACACAGAUCUUAACUCUAAUGAUGUAACUGGCUUAAGGGAAUCUGAAGAAAAACUAAAGCAACAACAGCAAGAGUCUGCACGCAGGGAAAACAUUCUUGUAAUGCGACUAGCAACCAAGGAGCAAGAGAUGCAAGAGUGUACUACUCAAAUCCAGUACCUCAAGCAAGUCCAGCAGCCUAGCGUUGCCCAACUGAGAUCAACAAUGGUAGACCCAGCGAUCAACUUGUUUUUCCUAAAAAUGAAAGGUGAACUGGAACAGACUAAAGACAAACUGGAACAAGCCCAAAAUGAACUGAGUGCCUGGAAGUUUACGCCUGAUAGGUAAACAAAUCAUACUCCCCAGUCAAGACUUCCCUGACAGUCCCACUACGAGAAAGCUGUGGUGGGACAGCCGAGUACUCGUUUCCACACCAAGACUCAGACUUCUUGAGCCAAAAAGCCACAUUCUUAUACUGUCCAGCUUGUAAUGGUUAAUGUAAAACUUACCAGAUGAACCUUGUGUUUCAGCUUUUUCUCUUCCCCCUCCCCUUGCUUCAGAGGCCUGAUGGCGUCGGACUAUUCCGAAGAAGUGGCCACCUCCGAAAAAUUCCCCUUCUAGAACAUGUAGACACUUGAGAAAUGUUUCUGUUUGAAGAAAAUAGAGGGAGAAACAGAAGUCUUAAGUCUGUGGCACACUGUGUCUUCAGACAGUUUGGAGGAAUGAAAACCUAGAGAUUUAAAAUCAUGAAUUGAACAUGUAAAAUUCCAGUAAAUGUAAAGAUGGAAUAUGCAUCGCUCUUAACCUUGAGCAUAGUGACUUAGAGACACUGUAUAUCAGUUUUGCCAAUAAGACUGUGGACUUCGUGAUUGUUGUUGAACUUCUGGGUCAAACUCAAAUGAGGUGAAUUUUGCCUUUAAAGGGUUUAUUUGCUAAGAACCAACUUAAUAGUCAUGAGAGAAUCAAAUAAUAGAUGUCAGUACAAGUAGUUCAUAUAUUUAACCAUUUAGUUUGGGGCUCCAUAUUACUUGAUUGAGCCUUAAAUCAAUGUGGUUUUACUCAAUGGUUUGUUCUUUGAAUGGUUGCUAAUACUGUAGAUAAUCUUAUUGAGGACUGUACAAAUAAUGAAGGUGUGGUAUCAAACUUCAGGUCUAAACUGUUUGAAGCAUUAUAAACAUUCAUUUCACAACUAGAUUGUAUAAGGAUAUUAGCUGUGAUGAGACUCACUGCGUUAUUUUUUUCAGUAGUGAAAUUUAUUAAAUCCCCAUUCCAUUCAACAGGCACAUGUUGAAAGAGCAUUGUCGUUGGUGUUAAUGGGGGAAUGUGUUCCUUCAUUGUAUUUGGGCCUUUUGUAUUGCACUCUUGAUAUUAAAUUAAAUGUGCCUUGAAAUAGUUGGUUUUUUUUUUUUGUUUUGGUUUUGUUUUGUUUUUUAAGUUCAAGGAUUACUAUGAUGAUUUUGUUGUACUUCUAACAUUUUGGUUUUGGGGGGGCUGUGAGAGCAGAUUGAUUUCGAAAAAAUUGUUGCUGUGCUCUUCAAAGUGAAGGAAAAGGCUCUGUGUCUCAUUUUUUAAAGACCUACUUUUUUUCCAGCUGGUAUCAUAAAAGACAAGGAGACUUGACACUUGUUGCUUUUUGACACCUUGUCCCAGGAUAUUGCAGUAGACAUUAAUGUGGGACAGCUUCACAGGGUGCCUGCCAGAAGAUUGGGGACAGAAUGUAUUGGAACUGUGGGCUGGCCUAAGUGAGACAUUUUGUGAAUUGGAGAAAAAUAUAUAUAUAUAUAGUGAUCAUUUCUAGCAAAUUCAUUUGAUCAUUUAGAUAAAAGAGGCAUUAUUUUCUUCAUGCUUCCAUCCAAUCCUGGAGGUGAAUUUUUUCGUCAGAUCAUUCUAUAAGUCACCAAUUCGAAUUUUCACUUGGUGAUAAUGGAGUCUAAGAUGAGUGGAAGAUAAAUGUUCCAGAUUGCCCCAACGUUUAAGUGCAGUUUUAACAAGGGUGACUUAAGUUCUCUCUUAAUCAUUCAAAUCAAUUCCAAACAGGCAAAAAGUUAAUGGCGAAGUGUCGAAUGCUUAUCCAGGAGAAUCAAGAGCUUGGAAGGCAGCUGUCCCAGGGACGUAUUGCACAACUUGAAGCAGAAUUGGCUUUACAGAAG